UUCCAAGUACCAUAUGUCUUUUAAACAAAUGUGAAGAUACUUAAAUCAAUGAAUUUAUGUAAAUAUGUUUUGCAUCUCUCUGAUGUGCCAGUAGCUCUGCUAAUGUAACACAAAUUCUUGAAAAGGCGUUAAAGUAUUAUUCUAUUCUAAAUUUAUGACAUUUACAU